rnacentral:rRNA from 1 species
UCUGGUGAUGAUGCUCUUAAUGGAUACACCCGUUACCAUACCGAACACGAAGGUUAAGCAUUAAGAGGCCGAUAGUACUGCACGGGAAGCUGUGUGGGAGGGUAGGUGGUUGCCAGGU